rnacentral:rRNA from 1 species
GGUGGCUGGUCGUUGUUUGAGAACUGCACAGUGGACGCGAGCAUCUGUGGCCAAGUUUUUAAGGGCGCACGGUGGAUGCCUUGGCACCAGGAACCGAUGAAGGACGUGGGAGGCCACGAUAGUCCCCGGGGAGCUGUCAACCAAGCUUUGAUCCGGGGGUUUCCGAAUGGGGAAACCCGGCAGUCGUCAUGGGCUGUCACCCGCUGCUGAACACAUAGGCAGUGUGGAGGGAACGAGGGGAAGUGAAACAUCUCAGUACCCUCAGGAAGAGAAAACAACCGUGAUUCCGGGAGUAGUGGCGAGCGAAACUGGAUGAGGCCAAACCGUAUGCGUGUGAUACCCGGCAGGGGUUGCGCAUGCGGGGUUGUGGGAUCUCUCUUUCAUAGUCUGCCGGCUGUGAGACGAGUCAGAAACCGUUGAUGUAGGCGAAGGACAUGCGAAAGGUCCGGCGUAGAGGGUAAGACCCCCGUAGCUGAAACAUCAACGGCUCGUUUGAGAGACACCCCAAGUAGCACGGGGCCCCGAGAAUCCCGUGUGAAUCUGGCGGGACCACCCCGCUAAGCCUAAAUAUUCCCUGGUGACCGAUAGCGGAUAGUACCGUGAGGGAAUGGUGAAAAGUACCGCGGGAGCGGAGUGAAAUAGUACCUGAAACGUGUGCCUACAAGCCGUGGGAGCGUCGCGCCAUCGAGCUUGCUCGGUGCGUCGUGACUGCGUGCCUUUUGAAGAAUGAGCCUGCGAGAUUAGCGGUGUGUAGCGAGGUUAACCCGUGUGGGAAGCCGUAGCGAAAGCGAGGUCCGAAUAGGGCGAAUGAGUUGCACGCUCUAGACCGAAAGCGGAGUGAUCUAGCCAAUGGGCAGGUUGAAGCGGAGGUAAGACUUCGUGGAGGACCGAACCCACCAAGGGUUGAAAACCUGGGGGAUGACCUGUGGUUAGGGGUGAAAGGCCAAUCCAAACUCCGUGAUAGCUGGUUCUCCCCGAAAUGCAAUUUAGGUGCAGCGUCGUGUGUUUCUUGCCGGAGGUAGAGCACUGGAUAGGCGAUGGGCCUACCGGGUUACUGACCUUAGCCAAACUCCGAAUGCCGGUAAGUGAGAGCACGGCAGUGAGACUGUGGGGGAUAAGCUCCAUGGUCGAGAGGGAAACAGCCCAGAGCAUCGACUAAGGCCCCUAAGCGUACGCUAAGUGGGAAAGGAUGUGGAGUCGCAGAGACAACCAGGAGGUUGGCUUAGAAGCAGCCACCCUUGAAAGAGUGCGUAAUAGCUCACUGGUCAAGUGAUUCCGCGCCGACAAUGUAGCGGGGCUCAAGCGUACCGCCGAAGUCGUGUCAUUCAUACACAUAUCCCCAACGGGAGUAUGGAUGGGUAGGGGAAGCGUCGUGUGCCGGGUGAAGCAGCCGCGGAAGCGAGUUGUGGACGGUUCACGAGUGAGAAUGCAGGCAUGAGUAGCGAUACACACGUGAGAAACGUGUGCGCCGAUUGACUAAGGGUUCCUGGGUCAAGCUGAUCUGCCCAGGGUAAGUCGGGACCUAAGGCGAGGCCGACAGGCGUAGUCGAUGGACAACCGGUUGAUAUUCCGGUACCCGCUUUGAAACGCCCAGUACUGAAUCAGGCGAUGCUAAGUCCGUGAAGCCGGCCCGAUCUCUUCGGAGUUGAGGGUAGUGGUGGAGCCGAUGAACCAGACUUGUAGUAGGUAAGCGAUGGGGUGACGCAGGAAGGUAGUCCAGCCCGGGCGGUGGUUGUCCCGGGGUAAGGGUGUAGGACGUUGUGCAGGCAAAUCCGCGCAACAUGAGUCUGAGACCUGAUGCCGAGCCGAUUGUGGUGAAGUGGAUGAUCCUAUGCUGUCGAGAAAAGCCUCUAGCGAGUUUCAUGGCGGCCCGUACCCUAAACCGACUCAGGUGGUCAGGUAGAGAAUACCGAGGCGUUCGGGUGAACUAUGGUUAAGGAACUCGGCAAAAUGCCCCCGUAACUUCGGGAGAAGGGGGGCCAUCACUGGUGAUAGCACUUGCUGCUUGAGCUGGGGGUGGCCGCAGAGACCAGCGAGAAGCGACUGUUUACUAAAAACACAGGUCCGUGCGAAGCCGUAAGGCGAUGUAUACGGACUGACGCCUGCCCGGUGCUGGAACGUUAAGGGGACCGGUUAGCUGCCUUUCGGGGCGGCGAAGCUGAGAACUUAAGCGCCAGUAAACGGCGGUGGUAACUAUAACCAUCCUAAGGUAGCGAAAUUCCUUGUCGGGUAAGUUCCGACCUGCACGAAUGGCGUAACGACUUCUCGACUGUCUCAACCAUAGGCCCGGUGAAAUUGCACUACGAGUAAAGAUGCUCGUUUCGCGCAGCAGGACGGAAAGACCCCGGGACCUUUACUAUAGUUUGAUAUUGGUGUUCGGUUCGGCUUGUGUAGGAUAGGUGGGAGACUUUGAAGCGGCCACGCCAGUGGUUGUGGAGUCGUCGUUGAAAUACCACUCUGGUCGUGCUGGAUGUCUAACCUGGGUCCGUGAUCCGGAUCAGGGACAGUGUCUGAUGGGUAGUUUAACUGGGGCGGUUGCCUCCUAAAGAGUAACGGAGGCGCCCAAAGGUUCCCUCAGCCUGGUUGGUAAUCAGGUGUUGAGUGUAAGUGCACAAGGGAGCUUGACUGUGAGACCGACGGGUCGAGCAGGGACGAAAGUCGGGACUAGUGAUCCGGCAGUGGCUUGUGGAAGCGCUGUCGCUCAACGGAUAAAAGGUACCCCGGGGAUAACAGGCUGAUCUUCCCCAAGAGUCCAUAUCGACGGGAUGGUUUGGCACCUCGAUGUCGGCUCGUCGCAUCCUGGGGCUGGAGUCGGUCCCAAGGGUUGGGCUGUUCGCCCAUUAAAGCGGUACGCGAGCUGGGUUUAGAACGUCGUGAGACAGUUCGGUCCCUAUCCGCUGUGCGCGUAGGAAUAUUGAGAAGGGCUGUCCCUAGUACGAGAGGACCGGGACGGACGAACCUCUGGUGUGCCAGUUGUCCUGCCAAGGGCAUGGCUGGUUGGCUACGUUCGGAAAGGAUAACCGCUGAAAGCAUCUAAGCGGGAAGCCUGCUUCGAGAUGAGUAUUCCCACCAACUUGAUUGGUUAAGGCUCCCAGUAGACGACUGGGUUGAUAGGCCAGAUGUGGAAGCCCUGUAAGGGGUGGAGCUGACUGGUACUAAUAGGCCGAGGGCUUGUCCUC